rnacentral:rRNA from 1 species
GACAGAGGGUGCAAACGUUGCUCGGAAUUACUGGGCGUAAAGCGCGUGUAGGCGGACCGAUAAGUCGGGCGUGAAAUCCCUGGGCUCAACCCAGGAACUGCACCUGAAACUGUUGGUCUUGAGUAGUGGAGAGGAAAGCAGAAUUCCUGGUGUAGAGGUGAAAUUCGUAGAUAUCAGGAGGAACACCGGUGGCGAAGGCGGCUUUCUGGACACUUACUGACGCUGAGACGCGAAAGCGUGGGGAGCAAACAGG